UAUCUAUCUACUGUUUCUUUACUCGUUAAGCUGACGAGUGCAAUAUACCGGUCGGCCUGGUCUGUUUUCCAGUGGUGCCAGGUGCGAUGGCCGAACGGCGUAACGACGUAACGACGGGUGCCGCAUUGCCGAUGUCGUGCCUGCCGUAACUACCGUAAACGGGGUCUUUUAGAGUGUUUGCGAAUCAGGCCGCGACCCCGUAGUCGUCAACUGUGGUAGUGGUUGCAAAGGGUUGUGCCGCGAAAUUAGAACAUUGCAUUCGUGAGGGUCGUCGCUGUCUCGCUCCCGUGGCGGGGCAUAAAUAGGAAUAAUACGAGCAACUAUGCGAUGUUGUAGCUCGUGCAUAGGUAGACGCGAGUGUAACGACCUUACACCCCCGCAGGUAGCGCGAGAUCGAUGGGCUCCAACCUCUCAUCCACAGUUCCUACCGCGGGCCAACUGCCUUCACCGUGCUCGCUUGUCCCACUUUUCUACUUUACCUUACCACUACCGACGUAACUCUACUUUGAUUCGCACUU